AUUGAACGCUAGCGGGAUGCUUUACACAUGCAAGUCGAACGAGUGGCGGACGGGUGAGUAAUCUAUCGGAACGUGACCAGUAGAGGGGGAUAACUAAUCGAAAGUGUGGCUAAUAACGCAUUCUAUUGGCGCUGCCGAUAUAGGAUUAGCUAGUUGGGGGGGUAAAGGCUCACCAAGGCACCGAUCCGUAGCUGGUGUGAGAGGACGACCAGCCACACUGGGACUGCGACACGGCCCAGACUCCUACGGGAGGCAGCAGUGGGGAAUUUUGGACAAUGGGGGAAACCCUGAUCCAGCCAUCCCGCGUGUGUGAGAAGGCCUUCGGGUUGUAAAGUACUUUUGGCAGAGAAGCGGUACCUGCAGAAUAAGCACCGGCUAACUACGUGCCAGCAGCCGCGGUAAUUC
rnacentral:rRNA from 1 species